ACGUCUCAGUUCGGAUUGUAGUCUGCAACUCGACUACAUGAAGCUGGAAUCGCUAGUAAUCGCGAAUCAGAAUGUCGCGGUGAAUACGUUCCCGGGCCUUGUACACACCGCCCGUCAAGCCAUGGAAGCCGGGGAGUGCCUGAAGUAUGCAACCGCAAGGAGCGUCCUAAGGUAAAACCGGUGACUGGGGCUAAGUCGUAACAAGGUAUC
rnacentral:rRNA from 1 species